rnacentral:ncRNA from 1 species
CGGCCACGUCAGGGGAGUCCCGCCUAGGGGACUGAGAGGCUGAUUGGGGGCAACCCCGGUGAAGCGACCCUUCGAACCUGACCCAGUUGAUACUGGCGUAGGAAGACCGGAAGCCGCCUCC